UACGUAGGGACCAAGCGUUGUUCGGAUUUACUGGGCGUAAAGGGCGCGUAGGCGGCGUGUUAAGUCAGCUGUGAAAUCUCAAGGCUCAACCUGGAGACGCCACCCGAUACUGCUGUGACUCGAGUCCGGUAGGGGACCACGGAAUUCCUGGUGUAGCGGUGAAAUGCGCAGAUAUCAGGAGGAACACCGGUGGCGAAGGCGGUGGUCUGGGCCGGUACUGACGCUGAGGAGCGAAAGCGUGGGGAGCGAACAGG
rnacentral:rRNA from 1 species